AGGACAACAACGGGAGUGGCCAACAUUUUCCGCCAAGGCACAUAUGUUCUUGGCAAAGAUCCACGCAUCGACCGUUUUUGCGUAUGGGGCAAUGAGAUAUUCAUGGACCAGCAUCAUGUGAGGAAACUGAUAAGGAUUAUUAGCAAAAAGAUAUGAACAGUGGCAAUCAAAUUAUUUGUUUACGCUCUAUCCAACAGAACAGUGAGCUGUAGGAUGUGGUUCCCAAAGUGGUUUGCUCAAGAUUACCUCACAAAGUACAUGAUUUGUGGACAUGCAAUGAAGGUUAAAGUAUUUCAUCGAGACUACAAUAAGCAUCGAGAAGUCCGAAUGAAGACAAUGAAGGAUGGACGGGCAGCCAUCACAAGGGGUUGGCCUAGAGUCCUACGCGCAUUACGCAUGGGGGUGGGCACAAUAUGGGCAUUCCGCUUCACCUUCUCCAGCAACAAGAAUGUCUUUUGUCUCUCUC